CCAGUUAUCAUGCAAAUAGUUAGGAAUUUAAGGAAAAAGGAUUACAUCUUAUUCAUUCUGUAUUGGUGCUGCAAUGGAGGCAGUAUCACAAGGUUUGUCGAAUGAGUUAACUAAACAGGUUGGGCGAUGGUCAUCAAAUAGAUACAAAAGUUAUGUAAGGCCUUAGUGUUUUGUUAAUAUGAUUACUUACUGUUUCUGUUUUCAGUUAAAAGACCAAUU